GUCUACAGCCAUUCCACCCUGAAUGCCAUGGGUCUCGUCUGAUCCCAGAAGCUAAGCAGGGUCAGGCCUGGUUAGUACUUGGAUGGGAGACCACCUAGGAAUACUGGGUGCUGUAGGUG
ensembl:rRNA 5S_rRNA 5S ribosomal RNA